rnacentral:lncRNA from 1 species
UUAUUCAAAUUUCCAAUUUUCUUUUCUUAUUCUUUUCUUUUUUCUUUGACUUGAAGGGAUGGAGAGAAUCUUUCAUGCAGCAAAAAAUUGAGUCUGAAAAGAAGAGAGUGAAGAAAAGUCUAUGGUUUGUUUUCUAUCACCCCCCAUCUCCUCUCUCUACAUAUGCAUGCACAGAGAUACAAGUAUCGUAAUACACCACACACAGUUGAAUUACAUCAUACUUACAUGCAUUAUUAACUGCUCGGAUUGAAGAGCGGGUACUAAUAUUGCAGAUUCGUAUAUUUCAGUUAAAAGACCUGAAGUAACAAAGACUUCGGUAAAAAUAGCACUUGGGCCGAUUAUUAUGCUUAAUUUUUUUUUUUUUAAUUUUUUGAAAUACGG